UACAGAGGGGGCAAGCGUUGUUCGGAUUCAUUGGGCGUAAAGGGUGCGUAGGUGGCGUGGUAAGUCUGGUGUGAAAUCUCCCGGCUCAACUGGGAGGGUGCGCCGGAAACUGCAAGGCUGGAGUAUGGGAGAGGUAGGCGGAAUUCCUGGUGUAGCGGUGAAAUGCGCAGAUAUCAGGAAGAACACCCGUGGCGAAGGCGGCUCUCUGGGACGGUACUGACGCUGAGACGCGAAAGCGUGGGGAGCGAACAGG
rnacentral:rRNA from 1 species